rnacentral:rRNA from 1 species
AUUGAACGCUGGCGGCAUGCCUAACACAUGCAAGUCGAACGGUAACAGGCUAGCAAUAGCGCUGACGAGUGGCGGACGGGCGAGUAAUACGUAGGGAUCUACCUAGAAGGUAGGGAUAACUUGGGGAAACUCAAGCUAAUACCAAAUAAUACUUAAGAGUGAAAGGAUGGGACCGUAAGGCCAUCCACUUUUAGAUGAACCUACGUCAGAUUAACUAGUUGGUGGGGUAAAGGCCUACCAAGGCGAUGACCUGUAGCUGUUCUGAGAGGAAGAUCAGCCACACUGGGACUGAGACACGGCCCAGACUCCUACGGGAGGCAGCAGUGGGGAAUAUUGGACAAUGGGGGCAACCCUGAUCCAGCAAUGCCGCGUGUGUGAAGAAGGCCUGCGGGUUGUAAAGCACUUUCAGUGGUGAGGAGUGUUGUAUAUUUUAAUAAAAUGUACAAUUGACGUUAACCAAAGAAGAAGCACCGGCUAACUCUGUGCCAGCCGCCGCAGUAAUAC